AUUGAACGCUGGCGGCAGGCCUAACACAUGCAAGUCGAACGAGUGGCGGACGGGUGAGUAAUGUCUGGGAAACUGCCUGAUGGAGGGGGAUAACUACUGGAAACGGUAGCUAAUACCGCAUACCAUCAGAUGUGCCCAGAUGGGAUUAGCUUGUUGGGGGGGUAACGGCUCACCAAGGCGACGAUCCCUAGCUGGUCUGAGAGGAUGACCGGCCACACUGGAACUGAGACAGGGUCCAGCCUCCUAGGGGAGGCAGCAGUGGGGAACAUGGCACAAUGGGCGAAAGCCUGAUGCAGCCAUGCCGCGGGUAUGAAGAAGGCCUUCGGUUUGGAAGGUACUUUCAGCGGGGAGGCGGUACCCGAAGAAGAAGCACCGGCUAACUCCGUGCCAGCAGCCGCGGUAAUAC
rnacentral:rRNA from 1 species